GACGAACGCUGGCGGCGUGCUUAACACAUGCAAGUCGAGCGGUAAGGCCCUUUCGGGGGUACACGAGCGGCGAACGGGUGAGUAACACGUGGGUAAUCUGCCCUCGGCACCGGAAUAGCCCGGGGAAACCCGGAUUAAUGCCGGAUGGCCUCUCGAGCUCUCGAGCUCGUGAGAAAAGGUAGCUUUGGCCUCCGGCCGAGGAUGAGCCCGCGGUCGAUUAGCUUGUUGGUGAGGUAAUGGCUCACCAAGGCGACGAUCGAUAGCUGGUCUGAGAGGACGAUCAGCCACACUGGGACUGAGACACGGCCCAGACUCCUACGGGAGGCAGCAGUGGGGAAUCUUGCGCAAUGGGCGAAAGCCUGACGCAGCGACG
rnacentral:rRNA from 1 species